GCUGAUGAAUGGCUCUUGCCAGCUUUCGGCUGGACUAGGGGUCUGCCUGCCGCUGAUUACAAACACUAAUGAACUUACGGCGCCCAGUGAAAUUCACACGCACCAACAAAGUGCGGGGGGUGGGCAUUUCAGGUCAGCUGAGUCACCCGAAGAGGUGGGAGUGCAAGACACUGCCGGGAAGAUGGAUUUCAAGGCAGAAGGGUGUAAUUAAGGAUUUCCACCCCCUGUAGGCGGCCGGUCCUUUACAGUGUCUCCGAAAAUGACCCGCGCCUUCCUUUCCAGAGUGUCCUCUCCUCCGAGGCUGAAGAGUGCAAAUGACCUUCGGAAGGGGGAGGGGGCUCUAAACACUCGGACUUCCUGGGUAACCCCAGCUGGGCUAUGUCGUACGCAAGUGUCCGCCCUCGGGUUCAAGCUCUGGGACUUUCAGCAAGUGCCCCCUGGCCAGGAGACAGAUUCUGGAGGCCUCCAAAGGCUGCACAGCUCUCAUUCUCUCUCUUUCUUUCUCUCUCUCUCUCGCUCUCCUCAAUGCGCCUUCUCCUUCAACACUACCCCUGCCCUGACGUUGUUUGCUGUGGGAGGAAAAUAAGUUUACUGCUGUGCACUAGGCACUCUCAUUUUCUAUUCACUCAAGUUCCCUGGGAAACGCUCACUCCAGGUGUUUCCCCCCCCUCCCCACCGCCUGCCCCGUAAAGAUACUGACCCAGGGGUAACUUUAAGUUCUGGUUGCUCUGGAGUUUGGGAACAUCCAACCUGCGAUUUUAGUCCAGCUGAUCGCUGGCUCUUCGGCCCCCCGCGAACCUGCAGUUACCUUUCUGUUCCCUGACAGGUGGCUUCCGGCUGGGGCAGACGCGCUCAGGGCGGACAAGCGCUUUGGCUCCUCUUGGGGCGCCCGAGCGUAUACCUCCACCCCACCCCCACCCAGGUAGCUAACCAGUUGUGUCCCUUGCCAUCUGGACCUGUCCUUGGAGGCGGGGCAGAGGGACUGGUGCGCUCCAGCCUUCUCCUUUCACCUCCUCUCAAAUUCAGAGCAGACAGUUCUACCAGUUUGCAUCUAACCUGACUGUGGCUAGAGGAAAUAACAUUUGCCUUUGUAAGCACGUGCAGAACCAGAAACUAAGACCUCGGAAAACAAGAAGAAUGCCUCCUAGGAAAGCCUAAGCCUUUAGAAUUGAGUUUCUCCAAGGUUUGGCGAUCAAAGUGACAAGGUGAAUACAUAAACUUCAAUUGGUGUAUCCAGUCGCAUGGUGAGUUCCCAAAGUUGCUAAGUGACGGAACACACUACCAGGCGUUGGGAAGUAGCAGUGAUACUUGAGCAACCCCACCCUGCUCUCGGGCCUUCUCCGGGGAGGGGCGGGGGCAGGGGGACCAGUGACGCUAGGGCACCAUAGGCACAUCUUUAAGGGAAGAAUCCAGAGCUGCCCUGGGGUGGAUCAGUCUCCUUCCUGCCACGUGUAUUUCACACUUAGGGAGAAACAACCACCACAACAAAAACAAGGCGGAGGGGGCAGAUUAAUUACUGUCCCCCUCUCUCUAGCCAUUCUCAUUUUCUUUAGAAAAACUGUCAAUUAUGAAGGUAUGCCCCAGAUGUUACAUGACAACCACAAAUACAUGCUACUUAAAAUUUGCAUCCGUGACAAGAUCAGAAGGAAACUUGAAAGGUGUUUCAUAAAUUACGUUUGUGGCCCAGUUCACACAAAAACAUUUUAAGUGUUCAAAACUUUUCUAAAGUGUCAAACUAACACACACACCCCUGAUUUUUCCUGUACCUUGCCAUCUAGGAAUACAUGCACACACAAGAGAAAAGAUACCUUGCUCCAUCCCAAACAGGCCAGAACAGAAAAGCUAAAUUACUACUGGUAGAACAGGUGGGAGCUGGGUGAGGGGCUGGCUGUUUCUUCUUUUCAGCUCUCUCUCUCUCUCUCUCUCUCUUUUUCCCCUAGAACUCUCAUUAUAGCUAACGCUGGUAAUAAGUGUAGGAAACAAUAGAACUCAUAAAAUUUAGAAAUGGUAAUAAAUCUCAGAGCCUGUCUCUAGCCCAGCUCCCUGUUACAGGAUAUUCAAAGUUUUUCAUAGGUGAUGCUCAGCAUUCACACUAAUUGGAUGCAGUACAGACAGACUACUCUAGAACUCAUUAACACAGCCCUGUGCACCCUCUGCCAGGCGUCGCUGGUGGACAAGGCACGCAGGUGUCCUGCUCAACGCCUCAAGCGUGUGUGUAAGGUGCAGCCCGCAAUCCAAGCAGCUUAUGCGUGCUAAGUUUCAGGCUUCGCGGUUUAUUAUUUUUCCCUCCCUAACAAAGUUCCGUCAUUCGAGGCCAUUAGGAAAAGCCGGUGUUGUGCAGUGCCAAACUAUACCAGGCACUUUCUCUUCCAAAUGAAUCCCUGGAAAGCAAAGAGGCAGCUUGCUAUGUGGCCAUCAGGAUUUUUGCCUCUAUGAGCUGUGGUCGCGGGAGGGCGGGGACCGUGGGCUGCUCACACCGUGCCCUGGGCUGCAAUAAAAAACGAGCGGGGGAGAGAAGAAAUGCAAGUCCUCGCGGUCUGUUUUGCAAACGUCUGCCCGCUCACUGCAAACUCUGCCGUGUGCUGCUGAUGACUUUGCCGUGCUCAUGCAUCUGGUCGUGUAUGGGAUAAUGGGACGGAGCUGGAGACAUCGCCCUCCCGUGGGGCCCCCUUGUCACACUGAUACGCAGCCCUCCCGGAGGGGGGCGGGGAAUGCUUUUGAGCUCUCCAGGCAGCCCCCACCUCCUCCCCUGGAAAUGCAGGCUAGCGGCCUUUGUAAGCCUCUAAAAAGGGUGCUGGGGAGGAAGACAACGGCCCAAACCUCCAGAUGCACCUUGGGGUUAGGGAAGAUCUGACUGUGUCUUGGGGACUGGGAUGGGGUUCAGAGGGACAGGCUCCUGUCCUGAGGCAGAGGCAGGGCCACCAGCACCUGCUCUGCGGCUCCGCCAAUCCCCACCUCGGCCUAGUGUUGCUCCCCACCUGCAGGUGAUACUUGUCCAUUAUAAUCAGCUUCAGAUGAGCUUCCCCCCACCCCCCGGGCUGUGGUUUGGGGUCUGUCAGUGUUCUCCUUCUGUCCUAAGGCUCCUGGCUGCAGCUGAAGGGGCUGGGUGGCAGCUGUUCCUGACUCCCUCCCGUGGGGAGCAGCCGGUCCCGCAGCCACUUCCUCCUUUGACAGGCGGGGCUUUCAGGCGUGCGGAAGGGGAGCACCGGGUCAAGCAGGUAGGAGGCUCUUCUAGGAGGCUCUGGGCCAUCUUCAGAGGUAUUCUUUGGACUAAUUAACAUCUGCUCUAGCCAAGUGAGGCAAGAGAGGCCUGGCCCCCGGGCUCAAAUCCAGGAGCUGCCUGGGCUGCAACCUCUCCCACUGAUUGGACUCCCGGUGAUGAUGAGAAAAGCAGGAAAUGACUGGUCCUCCCGGCUCCCUCUCUGAAAAGAUCAGUAAAGACAGUAAUCCAUAUAUGUCCUAAAAGAGGUUAUGUCUCAACUGAGAGCAAGUUAAGUGAUGAGCGCCUUUGAACAGAGGCUGAGGCUGGUAGUUGCUGAGGAAAACAAAUCACUUUGCAUGUAGCAAGCAAUUAAUCUGGAACAGUUUACAGCACUAGAACCGAACUUUUACACAGAAGUCUCAAGGAGCUCUCAAGUUCUCAUAGGGAUGUUUGGUUUCCCCUCCCUCUUGCAAAAAUAAGUAACCUAUUUCUCUGGGCUGAUUGAGGGAAACUGCAAAACAAAUAUUCGGAUUCAAUCGCUAAGAAAGUCAUAAAAUGAAAUGACUGUUUG
rnacentral:lncRNA from 1 species